AAUGUACUCCCUCCGUCCGGAAAUACUUGUCAUCAAAAUGGAUAAAAAGGAAUGUGAUAAGUAUUUCCGGACGGAGGGAGUAUACG
rnacentral:pre_miRNA from 1 species